rnacentral:rRNA from 1 species
UACGUAGGGUGCAAGCGUUGUCCGGAAUUAUUGGGCGUAAAGAGCUCGUAGGCGGUUUGUCGCGUCGGUUGUGAAAACUCGGGGCUCAACCCCGAGCCUGCAGUCGAUACGGGCAGACUAGAGUGCUGUAGGGGAGACUGGAAUUCCUGGUGUAGCGGUGAAAUGCGCAGAUAUCAGGAGGAACACCGGUGGCGAAGGCGGGUCUCUGGGCAGUAACUGACGCUGAGGAGCGAAAGCGUGGGGAGCAAACAGG